rnacentral:lncRNA from 1 species
AUGAGCUGCCCCAACGUCCCUUCUUCAGGGAAGCACUUCAGUCAGACCAGAGAGAAACCCUGUGCACCCAGGCCCACGGUCAGCAGAUACCACAAGGUGAAUCCAUGCAGGACAUUUGGACGCCAUGAAUCCACGUUGCUCUGGAGGGUAAGCUGCACCUGCCAGCGAGACAAAGACCUUUGUGAUUCAAACGACCUGAAGGCUUCUUUCCAAAAGUCCACCGUCGAGUGUGAGACGUUUCCGUUGGAUUCCAGCUUUCUUGCUGCCUUGCUGUGGCACUGGCCCAAACUGCUAGCUGCUCCCUGUUCAGUUUUCUCAGCUAUAAAACCACGAGGACACAGUGUGGGCCCGGCUUCAGGAAGCCUGUUCUGGCUCUUGCAGUGCAGCACUUUGAAAGUACAAAGAAUCAUUAUAUUUAUGAUUACAGCUUGCUGGACGAUUUCAUUGUGCUAUAAUUUAGGGAAUAUAUGUUUCAAAAUAGUGGUGACACAGAAGUUGUACAGGUUAGGGAAUGGGUAUUCUGAGAUCCAGCAAGAGUUAGAAUGUCUUUAA